AGGACGAACGCUGGCGGCGUGCCUAACACAUGCAAGUCGAACGGGACCAGGGGCAACUCUGGUUCAGUGGCGGACGGGUGCGUAACACGUGAGGAACAUGACCUUCGGCGGGGGAUAGCCGGCCCAACGGCCGGGUAAUACCGCGUACGACCACUUUGGGACAUCCCUAGGUGGUGAAAGCAGCAAUGCGCCGAUGGAGUGCCUCGCGGCCUAUCAGCUAGUUGUGAGGUAACGGCUCACCAAGGCGACGACGGGU
rnacentral:rRNA from 1 species